rnacentral:pre_miRNA from 1 species
GGGGGGAGGUCGGAUCCUGGGCUGUGUCCGGCGCCCAGUGCUCCGGGGCCUGCGCUGUUGGAUUCGUGCUCCCGCCCCGCAGCCCCCU